AUAGGGGUAUAAUUCCACACCACCUGAGUUCUGAAUCGCAAGUCCCUGCAUUGCAAACCACGGCAGUUCUCCCAAGGUAGUACAAAGUUUCUCAAAAAUUACUUCAAAACUAAUCACUUCAACAUAAACGUACAACCUGGUAUGACGCCUGCCACAGACCAGAUGACAGACGAAUAUAUACUGAGGAAAUGUUGCAGCCGGGGAAGUGGCUCAGCCGGUGAAUUGAAGGAUUUGAAGUAAUACUGUUGGCCUAGGACAACUUUAUUAAAGAUACCUACCUUCUC